rnacentral:rRNA from 1 species
UACGGGGGGGGCAAGCGUUGUUCGGAAUUAUUGGGCGUAAAGAGCUCGUAGGCGGUCUGUCGCGUCGGAUGUGAAAAUCCAGGGCUCAACCCUGGACCUGCAUUCGAUACGGGCAGACUAGAGUUCGGUAGGGGAGACUGGAAUUCCUGGUGUAGCGGUGAAAUGCGCAGAUAUCAGGAGGAACACCGGUGGCGAAGGCGGGUCUCUGGGCCGAAACUGACGCUGAGGAGCGAAAGCGUGGGGAGCAAACAGG